UCCCUGAUAGCUCAACUGGUAAAGAAUCUGCCUGCAAUGCAGGAGACCCUGGUUUGAUUCCUGGGUCGGGAA
rnacentral:tRNA from 1 species